AUUGAACGCUGGCGGCAGGCCUAACACAUGCAAGUCGAGCGAGCGGCGGACGGGGGAGAAAUGUCUGGGAAACUGCCUGAUGGAGGGGGAUAACGACUGGAAACGGUAGCUAAUACCGCAUACCAUCAGAUGUGCCCAGAUGGGAUUAGCUAGUCGGUGGGGUAACGGCUCACCUAGGCGACGAUCCAUAGCUGGUCUGAGAGGAUGACCAGCCACACUGGGACUGAGACACGGCCCAGACUCCUACGGGAGGCAGCAGUGGGGAAUAUUGCACAAUGGGCGCAAGCCUGAUGCAGCCAUGCCGCGUGUGUGAAGAAGGUCUUCGGGUUGUAAAGCACUUUCAGCGGGGAGGCGUUACCCACAGAAGAAGCACCGGCUAACUCCGUGCCAGCAGCCGCGGUAAUAC
rnacentral:rRNA from 1 species